rnacentral:rRNA from 1 species
UGAAUACGAGAUGCUACGGCAUUGAAGCAGUGUAUGUCAGACUUCCAAGAAAAGCUCGCAAUGUCAUAAACAAUAAAUGCCUGUACCAUAACCGACACAGGUGGGUAGGUAGAGUAUACUAAGGGGCGCGAGAUAACUCUCUCUAAGGAACUCGGCAAAAUGACUCCGUAACUUCGGGAGAAGGAGUGCCUUAUUUUAUAAGGUUGCAAUAACAAGAUCCAAGCAACUGUUUACCAAAAACACAGGUCUCCGCUAAGUCGAAAGACGAUGUAUGGGGGCUGACGCCUGCCCAGUGCCAGAAGGUUAAAGAAGUUGGUUAGCUUCGGCGAAGCUGAUGACUGAAGCCCUGGUGAACGGCGGCCGUAACAAUAACGGUCCUAAGGUAGCGAAAUUCCUUGUCGGGUAAGUUCCGACCCGCACGAAAGGCGUAAUGAUUUGGAUACUGUCUCGGAGAGGGGCUCGGUGAAAUAGACUUGUCUGUGAAGAUGCGGACUACCUGCACCUGGACAGAAAGACCCUAUGAAGCUUUACUGUAACUUGAGAUUGAAAUUGGACUUUAUUUGCGCAGUAUAGGUGGGAGACGUUGAGAAUAUUCUUGCGGGAAUAUUGGAGUCAUUGUGAGAUACCACUCUUGUAAUGUUAGAUUUCUAACUUUGUAUCAUUAUCUGGUCAAAGGACAGUUUCAGGCGGGCAGUUUGACUGGGGCGGUCGCCUCCUAAACGGUAACGGAGGCGCACAAAGGUUUCCUCUGAACGUGUAGAAAUCGUAUCUAGAGUGUAAAGGCAUAAGGAAGCUUGACUGUGAGACCUACAAGUCGAGCAGGGACGAAAGUCGGUCUUAGUGAUCUGACGGUGCUGAGUGGAAAGGCCGUCACUCAACGGAUAAAAGUUACUCUAGGAUAACAGGCUGAUCUCCCCCAAGAGUUCACAUCGACGGGGAGGUUUGGCACCUCGAUGUCGGCUCAUCGCAUCCUGGGGCGGUAGUACGUCCCAAGGGUUGGGCUGUUCGCCCAUGAAAGCGGUACGCGAGCUGGGUUCAGAACGUCGUGAGACAGUUCGGUCCAUAUCCGGUGUAGGCGUUAGAAUAUUGAGAGGAGCCUUCUUUAGUACGAGAGGACCGAGAAGGACAUACCUCUGGUGUACCAGUUAUCGUGCCAACGGUAAGCGCUGGGUAGCUAUGUAUGGAGUGGAUAACCGCUGAAAGCAUCUAAGUGGGAAGCCCACCUCAAGAUAAGUAUUCUC